rnacentral:rRNA from 1 species
UACGUAGGGCGCAAGCGUUGUCCGGAAUUAUUGGGCGUAAAGAGCUCGUAGGCGGCUUGUCACGUCGGAUGUGAAAGCCCGAGGCUUAACCUCGGGUCUGCAUUCGAUACGGGCUAGCUAGAGUGUGGUAGGGGAGAUCGGAAUUCCUGGUGUAGCGGUGAAAUGCGCAGAUAUCAGGAGGAACACCGGUGGCGAAGGCGGCUCUCUGGACUGUAACUGACGCUGAGGCGCGAAAGCGUGGGGAGCAAACAGG